rnacentral:rRNA from 1 species
GAUGAACGCUAGCGGCAGGCCUAAUACAUGCAAGUCGAGGGGUAUAAGUAGCUUGCUACUUAGAGACCGGCGCACGGGUGCGUAACGCGUAUGCAACCUACCUUAAUCAGGGGGAUAGCCCGGAGAAAUUCGGAUUAAUACCGCAUAAAAACACAGGGUAGCAUUACCCAAUGUUCAAAUCUUUAUAGGAUUAAGAUGGGCAUGCGUGUCAUUAGUUAGUUGGCGAGGUAACGGCUCACCAAGACGACGUUGACUAGGGGAUCUGAGAGGAUCACCACCCACACUGGUACUGAGACACGGACCAGACUCCUACGGGAGGCAGCAGUAGGGCAUAUUGGUCAAUGGGGGCAACCCUGAACCAGCCAUGCCGCGUGCAGGACGACGGCCCUCUGGGUUGUAAACUGCUUUUAUUCGGGAAUAAACCUACUUACGUGUAAGUAGCUGAAUGUACCGAAAGAAUAAGGAUCGGCUAACUCCGUGCCAGCCGCCGCCGUAACAC